UACAGAGGUCCCGAGCGUUGUUCGGAUUCAUUGGGCGUAAAGGGUGCGUAGGCGGCGGGGAAAGUCUGAUGUGAAAUCCUGGGGCUCAACCCUGGAACUGCAUUGGAUACUUCCUUGCUAGAGUACUGGAGAGGAACUGGAAUUUACGGUGUAGCAGUGAAAUGCGUAGAGAUCGUAAGGAAGACCAGUGGCGAAGGCGAGUUUCUGGACAGUUACUGACGGCUGAGCACGAAGGCCAGGGGAGCAAACGGG
rnacentral:rRNA from 1 species